rnacentral:rRNA from 1 species
AACGCGAAGAACCUUACCCAGGCUCGAAAUAAAGAGGGCGAUAACAGAAAUGUUAUUUUCCGUAAGGACCUUUUUAUAGGUGCUGCAUGGCUGUCGUCAGCUCGUGCCGUGAGGUGUUGGGUUAAGUCCCGCAACGAGCGCAACCCUUAUUGUUAUUUGCCAACAUUUAAGGUGGGAACUAUAACGAGACUGCCUAGGUUAACUAGGAGGAAGGUGAGGAUGACGUCAAGUCCGCAUGGCCUUUAUGUCUGGGGCUACACACGUGCUACAAUGGUCGGUACAGAAGGCAGCAAAGCCGCAAGGUGGAGCAAAUCCUAGAAAGCCGAUCUCAGUUCAGAUUGUGGUCUGCAACUCGACCACAUGAAGAUGGAAUUGCUAGUAAUGGCGAGUCAGCAACACCGCCGUGAAUACGUUCCCGGGCCUUGUACACACCGGACACGC